rnacentral:rRNA from 1 species
UACGUAGGGUGUAAGCGUUGUCCGGAAUUAUUGGGCGUAAAGAGCUCGUAGGCGGUCUGUCGCGUCUGCUGUGAAAACUCAGGGCUUAACCCUGAGCUUGCAGUGGGUACGGGCAGACUAGAGUGCGGUAGGGGAGACUGGAAUUCCUGGUGUAGCGGUGAAAUGCGCAGAUAUCAGGAGGAACACCGGUGGCGAAGGCGGGUCUCUGGGCCGUAACUGACGCUGAGGAGCGAAAGCAUGGGGAGCGAACAGG